rnacentral:rRNA from 1 species
GAUGAACGCUGGCGGCGUGCCUAAUACAUGCAAGUCGAGCGAACAGACGAGGAGCUUGCUCCUCUGACGUUAGCGGCGGACGGGUGAGUAACACGUGGAUAACCUACCUAUAAGACUGGGAUAACUUCGGGAAACCGGAGCUAAUACCGGAUAAUAUAUUGAACCGCAUGGUUCAAUAGUGAAAGACGGUUUUGCUGUCACUUAUAGAUGGAUCCGCGCCGCAUUAGCUAGUUGGUAAGGUAACGGCUUACCAAGGCAACGAUGCGUAGCCGACCUGAGAGGGUGAUCGGCCACACUGGAACUGAGACACGGUCCAGACUCCUACGGGAGGCAGCAGUAGGGAAUCUCCCGCAAUGGGCGAAAGCCUGACGGAGCAACGCCGCGUGAGUGAUGAAGGUCUUCGGAUCGUAAAACUCUGUUAUUAGGGAAGAACAAAUGUGUAAGUAACUAUGCACGUCUUGACGGUACCUACUCAGAAAGCCACGGCUAACUACGUG